UACGUAGGGUGCAAGCGUUGUCCGGAAUUAUUGGGCGUAAAGAGCUCGUAGGCGGUUUGUCGCGUCUGGUGUGAAAAUCCAGGGCUUAACCCUGGACCUGCAUCGGGUACGGGCAGACUAGAGUGCGGUAGGGGAGAUCGGAAUUCCUGGUGUAGCGGUGAAAUGCGCAGAGUAUCAGGAGGAACACCGGUGGCGAAGGCGGAUCUCUGGGCCGGUAACUGACGCUGAGGAGCGAAAGCAUGGGGAGCGAACAGG
rnacentral:rRNA from 1 species